rnacentral:sRNA from 1 species
CCCCAAUCCACCUCCCUGCCUCACCCCCAACCCGCAAAGCUCACGCAGACUCUGCAGCUCACUCAAGGCCCUCUCGGGCCACCAUGCUUUUGCAUAUGCUGUCCCUGGUCCCGGAAGCACCCUCUGGCAGCCUGCCCCCAGCACAUGCCUAAUUGCCCUUCCAUGCUCUGCCUAAGUGUCGCUCCUCUGGGAGUCCUCCCCACCCAGAAUAUUGUUGGAUGCUCCCCCAUGUCCCCACGGAGUCUGUACAUAUCUGUGCCAUGCCAGUUCACAGCACCCCAUUGUAACUGUGUUUGCGUGUCUUUCCCCACCACUCCACCCCCAUCUCCCUAUGCCCCUGAGGCCCCAGAGGGCCAGGUCUGUGGCUUGUUCAUUUGCACUGUGCCUGGCACUCAGUAGGGACUCAGUGAAUGAAUGUGGAACGUGGUUCACACAGCCAGGGAGAAUGGGAUACCAGCCAGGGCCAGAACAGUCUACUGGGUGGGGCAGGAUCCAGGACAAGGAGGCGAGCAGCCCUUCCUCUGGCCACUCAAGUAGUGGGGACUGGGAGGAGGGGCGCUUUGUCUAUGCAGUCUUCUUGUGGCUCAUCACCAUACAGACAGGGCACCUGCCUCCUGCCACGCUGACUUCAGGACUGGUCGAGGCCCAGGGAACAUUUGCAGGGCAGCCCAACUUUGGCCCUGGCCCUAGCACUGGGCCUGGGCCUGGGGAGGAUAGAAAGUGUGCUGGAUAUAGUCAGACAGAACUGGCUGCCACUUUGGAUUUGAUCCCUUCCACCUUGGCAAGCUUGGGCAAGUUGCUUAAUCUUUCUGAGCCUCAUUGCCUCACUAGGGACGCAGGAGCUGAGGCUGCUUCCCUUGUUGGAAAGCACUGAAGCCCAGGAAUCGACCCACAACAGGCCUUCAACAAAUACCACUUCUCACCGUAUGGGUGAAAUAUGGCACUGGAAAUAAUGCUCUUGCCUAUGGGAGCUACAGAAAGCAUUGAGGUCUCUAUCAAACCCACUCUCCUCUCUCUCGAGAGGAACCAGUGGUGAUACCCUACCGCCCAACCCCAAAGCCGUGUACACCUGGGGGUAAAAAUCUGGGUGCCACGGGCUCAGGAAGGCUUUCUUGGGAGCAAGAGGGAGGUGGGUGUGUCUGGGGAGGCAUUUCUGAGCACAGGAGCCUCCCUGGAGUUUUGCCAUCGUCUCUUCCCAUUCUGUGGAGCCUGGGAUAACCACUGUUCUGACUCUCCUCACCCCUCCAGCCUCCCGGCGUGUGGCCUGCCAACCCGGCUCCCAUUACCCAGACAGUCAUCCACACAGUGCAGAGCACCCCUGGACAGAUGUUCUCUACUCCUGCCAUCCCACCUAUGAUGUACCCCCACCCCGCCUAUCCGAUGCCUUUCAUCACCACCAUUCCGGGAGGGCUGUACCCAUCCAAGUCCAUCAUCCUGUCGGGCACUGUCCUGCCCAGUGCUCAGAGGUUCCACAUCAACCUGUGCUCUGGGAGCCACAUCGCCUUCCACCUGAACCCCCGUUUUGAUGAGAAUGCUGUGGUCCGCAACACCCAGAUCAACAACUCUUGGGGGUCUGAGGAGCGAAGUCUGCCCCGAAAAAUGCCCUUCGUCCGUGGCCAGAGCUUCUCGGUGUGGAUCUUGUGUGAAGCUCACUCCCUCAAGGUGGCCGUGGAUGGUCAGCACCUGUUUGAAUACUACCAUCGCCUGAGGAACCUGCCCACCAUCAACAGACUAGAAGUGGGGGGCGACAUCCAGCUGACCCAUGUGCAGACAUAGGCGGCUUCCUGGCCCUGGGGCCGGGGGCUGGGGUGUGGGGCAGUCUGGGUCUUCUCAUCAACCCCACUUCCCAGGCCCAGCCUUUCCAACCCUGCCUGGGAUCUGGGCUUUAAUGCAGAGGCCAUGUCCUUGUCUGGUCCUGCUUCUGGCUACAGCCACCCUCGAACAGAGAAGGCAGCUGACGGGGAUUGCCUUCCUCAGCCGCAGCAGCACCUGGGGCUCCAGCUGCUGGAAUCCUACCGUCCCAGGAGGCGGGCCCGGUCAGGGAGAGGGGAGGAGCGGGCAGUGCAGAGGAAGCCCCAUGCUCAGUCCCCUCCCAUCCCCCAUGCAGCUCCACCCCAGUCCCAAGCCACCAGCUGUCUGCUUCUGGUGGGAGGUGGCCUCCUCAGCCCCUCCUCUCUGACCUUUAACCUCACUCUCCCCUUGCACCCUGCACCAACCCUUCACCCCUCCUGGAAAGCAGGCCUGAUGGCAUCCCACUGGCCUCCACCACCUGACCAGAGUGUUCUCUUCAGGGGACCGGCUCCUUUCCCAGUGUCCUUAAAAUAAAGAAAUGAAAAUGCUUGUUGGCA